GGCUACAGGUGUUCAGGAAGGCUACAAACACAUUUUGUCCAUUGAGCUAACAGUUUGGUUUUUGCAAACUGUAGUAAUUGAGUGAGGCAACUCCGGGGCAUUUGCCGUGAAGAAUUCUAUUUAUUACUAAAGAACAAAUUAUUAAUAUUGGAUGAGUGUUUCAACAGUGUGACUAAUGUUUAAAAUCGUUAUUUUUUUUUUCAGACUUUUUCUGUGAGCUUCCAAAAGUAAUGAUGUUUGUAGUGACUAUAAAUCAAGCUUUGGAAGUCCAAAAAAUAAAGACGGCCUUCCUUUGAGGAAAAAAAAAUGCAGUUUUCUGGCCACAAGGGCAUAUAGUGCAUUUCACUUACGUAUUGGUAUAGUUUAUAGUCAGUCCCCUGUCUCUUCUGCAAAAGGUACUGUUACAUAAACCAGGUUUUCUAAGUAGUUGUUCUAAAUUUUCAGGCUUCUAAACUUGGCAAUAGAAUUUUAUUUAAAGGCCCUAGGUAUUAACUUUUUUAAAAAAUGAGUGCUUUAACUUAAAACACACUGGGGAAAGCUGCAAUGUAGUCCUGUGUGUGAUUUUUUAAAUUUCUUAAUAUUUUUAUUUUAUUUUUGAGAGAGAGAGCUGGAGGGUGAGCUCGGGGUAGGGGGGCAGAGAGACAGGGAGACACAGAAUCCAAAGCAGGGUCCAGGGUCCGAGCUGUCAGCACAGAGCCUGAUGCGGGGCUCGAACCCAUGAACAGUGAGAUCAUGACCUGAGCCAAAGUCAGAUGCUUAACGGACUGAGCCACCCAGGAGCCCCUGAUUUUUUAGGUUAAUACAUGUAGUCUAACCGUUGAUUAAAGUUCCAUCUUUUCCUGGGCCCAUGAUGAGUUUGUGAACCAUGAAGAAAAUGAGACUAGAAGAUGCCCGACCAGGUCAGAUCAACAAUAACUACAGUGGUUGCUGAUGUUGCGAUUAUUGUUAAACUGUAAUGAACAAUUUGGAUUUAUCUCUUUGUUGUAAACUCUUAUAGCUGAAUUGCUUAAGUACAAUUUAUAGAAUUUCAGUGCAGUUAAUUUCUAAUGGAAAAUCUGAAACUUAUAUUGUAGAUUUAAAAGGUACUGUACAAGGGCACCUGGGUGGCUCAGUCAGUUGAGUGUCUGACUUUGGUUCAGGUCAUGAUCUCACAGCUCGUGGGUUCAAGCCCCACAUCGGGCUCUGUGCUGACAGCUCGGAGCCUGGAGCCUGUUUCAGAUUCUGUGUCUCCCUUUCUCUCUGCCCCUCCCCUGCUCAAGCCUGUCUCUUUCUCUUUCUCAAAAAUAAACAUUAAAAAAAAUUUUUUUUAAAGGUACUGUGCAACCAUUAUAUUUGUAAAUUAUUUAGCACGUUUUUGUCACCUAGAAUAGCGUGCAUACUACUCGAGGGGGCUAUCUUGCAAGUAAUACCAAGUUCCAGUGUUUGCUUCUUAGUAUUGAACUACAUUUACAGUUCUGUCCUAGACACGUCGCACCAGUCGAAUCCAUUCGUGUGUCUUUUUGUUCACGUGCUCUGUACCACUGGUGAGUGCGCCUUGGUUUCCUUACCUGCUGCCACAGAAAGUUCUUUUACAUCCUGAUGGCUAUUGCCAAGGCUACACGAAAGAAAAGCUUUAUUUGUAUGCAACCCUAACCCUUUGAUGGCUAACCUAGGUUCCUGCUUGCUGUGCCUUGUUCCAUCUGUGUUCUUAUGCUAAUAAAGUAUGUUUGGUGUUCUCCUUGUAAAACAACAACAAAUGAGUCACAUGUUGUCACUUCUGCCACAUUCUGUUCAUCGGAAACCAGUCACUAAGUCCAGCACUUUUGAAGGAAGGAGUGCAAAGGAUUUGUGAACAUAUUUUAAAACCAUCAGUUCUGCCCUGACGCACGAUCUGUAUGGACUUAUGCGAAGGUAUCCUUAGAAUAGAUUUCUAGAACUCAACGACUGGAUCAAGUGAUAUAUGCACUUUGAAUCUUGAUAAUUCCUGUUUGUGGCAGAAACUGUUCAUCGUCCUCCAAUAGCCAUCGUCUCUCUUUCUCCAUUUAGCACUGGACCUCCUGACUUUUAGCUGGCACAGCUCGAGAAUGUACCUCCCAACCCCCAUUGCUGCUACGUGGAGAUGUGCGACGAAGUCCUGUCCAGUGAGAGGAAUGGGUUGCUCAAAAAGCAAAUGACUCGUGGGUCAUGUGAGUGGGGAAGGCCGAGGUGGAGUGACAGCACCCUUCUAGUUCGCCCACCAGCCUCCCGCCGGAGCAGACAGGGAAUCCGUCGUGCCCGUGACUAUGCCCAUCUCAGAGUGCACGCUGUGUUCUUGCGGCCCAUGACGGCAUGGAGUGAAUCGGUUAGGAGCCUGCUUAGCUGUGAGGAAUACAGCGCCCAACGAACUGUGCCCUGAGCGAUAAAGACAUUCCCCCAAUCCACAAAGAACUACUGAGAGGUGACCCCAUGCCAGGCACUGUUGUAGGAGCUGGGGAGAGAGCAGAGAAAAGCAAACUUCCUGUUCCGGAGCAAGAAGGUAGCUCCUGUGAGGGCAGGGGCUUGACUUUGCCUUGAAUACCCCGGGCACCUUUCUCCUCCAGUUCCCCCUUGUAUUGGCUUCUGCCUCGUGGUCAACAGGUGGCUUGGGAUGUCCAGGAAUCUCAGUGGAGACAGGAAGCAGGAGACAGAGGUGACCAGCCAUCCCUGUUCCCUCUACCAGAAGGACACAAGCUUUCCCGGAACCCCCAGCAGAUUCUUGCUUACCAUCAUCACUGGGGAGACCCUGGGGCAGCGUGCGGCUACAUCAGAUUUUUCAUGACUAGUUAAUCUGGUUGUCAUUUAUCACCUGGGGUUGCCCAGAACAAAGUCGGGGUUUAGUCUGCAAAAGAAAAGGGGGAAAGAACAUUGGGGUCAGGCUGUCUUGUUCCCCCCGUGGCUCUGGGGGUCGGCAGCCACCGACAAGGUAAACCCUCUGUGGUCAAAUCUUAAGUAAAUAGAGAAACAAGUUAAAAGUGGCAUUAGAUACAAUCCCAGAUGAAGCAAAAAGGCUUUACUCAUUUACUGCCGUUUACUGAGCUCUUUGGCAAGCGCUCUUCAGGACGUGUGAAGGGGGAUGAAAGGCUCCAGCCUCAGGGAAUGUUCAGACCAGCUGGAGAUGACAACAGGCACAUGAAACAGCCUACGCCCCUGAGAGAAUGAAAAGGCUUUGGUGGGAUCUCAAUGCACAGAUAUCGAACAGAGGUCCAGAUGAGGAAAUCGAGAGCAGAGACCUUGACCCUUCUGUCCACUGUUGAACUCCAGCACCCAGAAUGGUAGGAAUUCAACACACUCGUCUGUUUAACGGCACCAUGAUGUGCUCUAAUGGGGAGCUCGGGGGCCAACAACCUCCCGGAUGAUGGCCCAGUGGAACCUGGGAAACGGACUGAGGCUCUGAUGCCAUUCAAGAGGUCUGCCCCUGCCUCCUGCCCUCUUUUCAUCCACGCUUAUUUUUCAAGGCCACUUAUAUGCAGCACUUUCACAAAGAGAGAAAUCAGAUUUAGGUUUGGCUCCCGAGUAGAUUAUAAUUACAGUUUAAAUCAGGGAUAACCUAUGCAGAAAAACCAUGGCAAAGUAACAAAAAUCACAAAGAGAAGCAAACAAUGUGCUGUAAUAAUUUUCUCAUUCGUUCGUUCAUUCAUUCAUUCAUUCAUUCGUUCACUCACUCAAGGAGCAUUCAGUGGGUUCAGCCCUGGGAUGCAGAGAUGAGAGUGACUUAGGUCCUGCUUCCAGUGGGAGGAGGCAGUGAAGGGUAGCAAAGGCCUGGGGCCAGCAGCUGAGGAGAGCGGGCUCCAGGCCAGAGGCCUGCCCCCCACAUCUCUCUUCCCUCUGCUCUGAGGGGACCUUUCCCCAGAGCUGGCCCAGCCUAGAGUGCAGCCUAAAGGGUUCUGGUCUGCCGAGAAAAGCAAGUCAGUGGACCUUGUCCCAGGCGUUGGGGCUAGCUGACCCCUUUCUGUGUCCCUCUGUCCUCCCCCCUCCCUCUGUGAUAGCUGGCAGAGGGCUCCAGGCUCCUGGCCUGGCUGCACACUCAUGCACCUGCUCACUCACGCGGAGCCAUCUACAGACAGCCCGGCCUCUUCCCCCAUCUGCCCACGCAGCUCUGCGGGGUGAUUGAUGGGGCUGCUCUCGCUCUGGGUCCCAGAGAGCUCCUUUUGAAUAAUAACUUGGCAAAAUUACUCUCUUUUUUUUGCUCUCCCUAUUUCUGAUUCAUUUGUUCUUUCUAAGUCAUUCAUCUUUUUUGAGUCAGAAGAAGAAUGAGGAAGAGGAGGAGGAGGAGUCACAGGUGCCAGGGGCCAGGAGCCCCGCCUCCUCCUGUCACCGACUGCACCCGAGACAACGAGAAAACGGCACCUCUCCCGCUAGGAUGUCUCUAUUACACCUGACCUCUGCCCGUGGGAGAAAAGCCAGUGUGGGAGCAGGCUGCACGCACACAGCUGGGAUGGUUCGAGUAUGGCCCCAAAUGUCCGCGGACACGAUCAGGGAGCCUGUUUGGGGCCAUUUGCCGCAUGGCUACGGUUGGGAGGCUGGAAGUUUCCUUGAGAGUCAAGUCUCCUUCCAGCCAUCUCUGCCAUUCAGCUUGAGUAUUUUUCCCCCUGGGAAGGAUUUCCCCAUACAAUAAAUGUCUCGUCUGAAUUAAUCUUAUUUUUCAAAGGAGGGAGUCGUCAUAUUGUAAAGACAGAUCAUAAAAAGAUGCAUCAAUCUGUCAGGAA